GACGGACGCUGGCGGCGUGCUUAACACAUGCAAGUCGAACGGAAAGGCCCCAGCUUGCUGGGGUACUCGAGUGGCGAACGGGUGAGUAACACGUGGGUGAUCUGCCCUGCACUCUGGGAUAAGCCUGGGAAACUGGGUCUAAUACCGGAUAGGACCGUGCUUUAGUGUGUGCGGUGGAAAGUUUUUCGGUGCGGGAUGAGCCCGCGGCCUAUCAGCUUGUUGGUGGGGUAAUGGCCUACCAAGGCGGCGACGGGUAGCCGGCCUGAGAGGGUGUACGGCCACAUUGGGACUGAGACACGGCCCAGACUCCUACGGGAGGCAGCAGUGGGGAAUAUUGCACAAUGGGCGCAAGCCUGAUGCAGCGACGCCGCGUGGGGGAUGACGGCCUUCGGGUUGUAAACCCCUUUCGGCAGGGACGAAGCUUUUGUGACGGUACCUGCAGAAGAAGCACCGGCUAACUACGUG
rnacentral:rRNA from 1 species